UCUGAGCAAAAAUUCAAAAUGAAUCAAAACUUUCAACAACGGAUCUCUUGGUUCUGGCAUCGAUGAAGAACGCAGCGAAAUGCGAUAAGUAAUGUGAAUUGCAGAAUUCAGUGAAUCAUCGAAUCUUUGAACGCACAUUGCGCCCGCCAGUAUUCUGGCGGGCAUGCCUGUCCGAGCGUCAUUUCAACCCUCGAACCCCUCCGGGGGGUCGGCGUUGGGGACUUCGGGAACCCCUAAGACGGGAUCCCGGCCCCGAAAUACAGUGGCGGUCUCGCCGCAGCCUCUCAUGCGCAGUAGUUUGCACAACUCGCACCGGGAGCGCGGCGCGUCCACGUCCGUAAAACACCCAACUUCUGAAAUGUUGACCU
rnacentral:rRNA from 1 species